rnacentral:lncRNA from 1 species
UUUUUUUUUUUUUUUUUUUUUUUUUUUUUUUUUUUUUUAAGACUAUAGUUGUGUAGGAGUUCCCGUCAUGGUACAGUGGUUAAUGAAUCCGACUAGGAACCAUGAGGUUGCGGGUUCAAUCCCUGGCCUUGCUCAGUGGGUUAAGGAUCCGGUGUUGCCAUGAGCUGUGGUGUAGGUUCCAGAUGCGGCUCGGAUCCCACGUUGCUGUGACUGUGGUGUAGCCCAGCAGCUACAGCUCCAAUUGGACCCCUAGCCUGGGAAUCUCCAUAUGCCAUGGGUGCGGCCCUAGAAGAGACAGAAAGACAAAAAAAAAAAAAAAAGAGGAUAGUUGUUUACAGUGUCAUGUCAAUUUCUGCUGUACAACAUAGGGACCCAUAGAGACCUUAAAAAGUGUCAUGCUUUUAUAUACACUCUUUUACCAGCUCUCCCUGGCAAUUUAGACACCUCUGCUGACUCUAGACUCCUCCCAUUUGCUAUGAUUCUAAUUUGUCCUGGACCAGGUGGUCCACCAGGUAACCCUUUCUCCAGGGCACCUUGAGCUGCCCAACCAUAGCAACUCCCCAUUGGCAAUGCCUCCUAGCCAAAUUCCCAUCACUUUCUGGGUGGUCAUCUCUGCCUGGCCACGCGACACGUGGAUAUGGUCACAGCCUGGAAUGACAAUAUAUUCAGCAGAGUCUCCAAUGGUAAGAAGUACAAGAUCCCUUCUGUCCUUGGUUAUACUUAUUCAAUAUGCUUCCCAACUUUCUGGGCCAAAGCUGGGAGAACAUACAACGUAAAUUGAUCUCUCACCUCCUCAUUCCUUCUUUCUCUUCCUGUGUCUUUUUAACUACCUCACAAAGUCCCAAAAAGUCAGAUAGCCUCUCUACCAUCACAUCAUUCCUUCCAUCUUUCACUGCAGCUUCCAGGAGAUGCCUUAAUGGAGCACAGGGAUGUUUUUUUGGUACCCACUGGGGGCACUCCAUAAGCUGGCUCAAUCAGAACGCAUUGUUGAAAAGCUAAAGGGCAAGAUUAAAGAAAUUUAGAAUUCCUCUUUUAGGACAACACCUGGCUUGCAAGGUUAUCUUCUGGCUGAAAAAUUCUAUUCUACAUGUCAGAGGAAGGAUAUUAACAUGCCCUUUCUUUCUGCGUUGCUUCUUUUAUAAAUCAUGACCUACCCCCAGGAUGAUGGAUGCCUCCAGUCAGCUAGAGCAAAGGUCAAGAAAAGAAAAAAGCAAAAUAGAAAAACACGUUAAUUUUUAAGGCACCCCCUUCAUUAAAUCAUUAUUAAUAGUUAUAAUUAUUCUUUUCUUUCUUCCUCUAAUUUGGCUUAGAACUUCUCAACUCUAUAUUAUGCAUAAGAAUUCAUGUGAACAUGUGGGUCCUGUUGAAAGUCUCAUUCAAACAAACCAGCUGUUAAAGAAAAGCUUUUUAGCAAAUGAAGGAAAGCUGGUAUUAGAUGAUACCAAUAAGUUACGGUUAAUUUUGUUGGGUGUGAUCAUGUCAUUACAGCAUGAUUUAAAAAAAAAAAAAGACUUUUUAAAAUGUAGGCAAAUACUUAAUAUAAACAAAUGACAUGAUGUCUAUAAUUUGCUUUAAAUUAUUGCAGCAAAAUAAAAGGUGUGAAGGCUAGUUGGUAGAUGAACCAAUACGGUAAAAUGCUGAGUUGAAGCAGAGUAAUGGCUACAGAGAGAUUUUUCUGUACACAAUUUAUUUCUGUGUGAGAUAGACAUUUUCAAAAUAAAAAGAUUUUCAAUUCAAUUAGAAAUUAGCACAAAUCAUGUGUGCUAUACUUAGUAGUCAGGUCAAAGGUAAUAUUGAUUAUAUGCAAUUUUCACUUUACGGGAUCAGGUAUAACUCAACCCAAUGGCAAUACCUAACUCACCAUCCCGUUGGCAGCAUGGAGUCUUUUCAGUUUCCCAAUAUUGACUAAUUUCAAAAAAGAAAUUAUGUUUUUUUAAAUCUACAUUUGGGAGGUUUUAAUAAGGUUAAAUCCUUUUCAUAUAUUACCCAGUAAAUGUUUAGAAGCUCUUUCAAAAUGGCUAGUCCUCCAAGAAGAGAUUUGAAUUCUAAAAAUCACCAAAAGCCAUUUAUUGCUACUUAGCAAAGAAGCAGGCCAUCAGCAGGGAGAAUAGACAGACCUCAUCUUUAACCCCCAAAUCUUAAAAAGGACUAUGCCUCAUAUUUUCCCAGGCCCUACAAACAGCCUCAGAAAACCCUCCUCAUCCAAGAAGAUGCAAGAGCUCUCACUGACGUCAGCUCACUAAAGUAAGGAAACCAUUUCUCAAAUUUGACAGACCUAACAGUCCUUUGAAUGGCAUUAACAAUGUUGAUGAUGACAGCUAUAAUGUAUUUUGCACCAACUAUGUGCCAGGCGUCAUCCACAGUACCUCUCAAAAAUUUCCAGAAAAGUGCCUCCAUGCACAGAACAAAUAAGAGAACCCAGCUGGUUUUAAAAAUUUAGCUCGAGGCCAAUUGGAGCAUGUGCAAAAAUUCAUGGAAGUCUCCUAUUUUAUCUUGUAAAAGAAUGUGACUUUUCCAUUCUGUCCCUCAUAAUAGCAUGAGCUAACAUUUAUUGAGCACUUAAAAGAGAUGCUGUCUUAAGCUAUUUUCAUGUAUUAAGUCUUCUUUGAGGUGUUUCUAUGAAGCUCCACUAGUAUUACCUCUAUCAUGCAAAUGAGAAUACUGAGAUUAAGUAGCUUAACCUGAGAAGUUAAGUAGAUUACCUGAGGUUGCACAGCCGGCAAGUGUCAAAACAGAAUUGGGGCCCAGACAGUCUGGCUCCAGAGACUGUGUGCUUCCCACUAUAAUUCCUCCAGAGGGUAUUAAUGUUCUCUUUAAAUUGCAAAAUCAAUUUUAUCUCCUAAUUUUCUGUGCAUCUAUGAUUUAGAACAUCAUAGCCCUUCUGUUCCUUCUCAAGGCCCUGACCUGUAUGACUGGGUGCUCAGAGUUACGACAACCCAGUUAGAGAAGCACAAACAUGCGCUAUUAUCUCCAGUCCUCGUAACGACAAAGUAAAUAUUAUUAUUCUCUCUAACACUUUGCCAAAUGAAGGUGACUCCCCUUCUUCAAGAUAGGCCUUACUUUCAUUUUUUAUAAAAAUGGAUGAAACUGGAGUUCCCAUUGUGUCUCAGUGGUUGGGUUUUGUGGUGAGGGGAAUAUUUUGGAUUCUUGCCCCACCUGCUACCGUACCAAGCAGGUAUUUCCAUUCAGCAGCACUUGCCAGUGUAAGAAUAUGAAAGUAUAAACCGCUACUCUCCAACCUAGGAUUACAAAGAAGAGGGAGGCACCCAGGACGUCAGCACAGCCAGGCUCGCAGGAAGGCUCAGUUUGAAUUCAUCCACACAUCAAACAUGGAUCACGCAUGGACUGGGCACUUGGCUGGCACUGUGAAUCACAUGGGCAUAAUCAUAUAAUGAUACGAGGCAUGGUUAGCCCUAUUUUAACAAUGAGAAACAAACUUUAGAAAAAUUAAGCAAUGGAGAUCCCAUCAUGGCUCAGCAGAAACAAAUCUGACUAGGAUCCAUGAGGACACAGGUUCAAUCCCUGGUCUCGCUCAGUGGAUUAAAGAUCCAGCCACACCGUGAGCUGUGGUGUAGGUUGCAGACGCUGCUCAGAUCUGGCGUGGCUGUGGCUGUGACUGACAGCUUUAGCUCUGAUUCGACCCCUAGCCUGGGAACCUCCUAAAAGAAAAAAAAAAGAAAAUUCAAGCGUCAAGGUCCUAUGACGCUGGGAAAUGUCCACACUGUUUCAAACCAGGUUUCUGGGCUGACACAUCCAGCAUCUCCCCACAUCUAAGGCCCCACUCACAUUCUAGUGAGGACUCAGACCUGUACUUGGACAAGCGUCACACACUGUGAUAAGGGUGCCAGGAAAGCAGAGCUGUUCAGAGAAUAGACGUGAACUUGGACAAACCUAGAGGUCCACUGAGCUCUGCAGCCUACUAGCUGUGUGGUUUGUUAUUUAAACUCUCACCUGUAACAUGGAGUUAUCAAGUCCUACUUCAUAGGGGUGGUGAGGAUUAAGCCCAGUGCCUGGCACAUGGCAGCAGCUCGCUAUCCGGGAGCUGCUGUGUCAUCAGUGAAACAGAGUGCGUGGGAGGGAGCCUGUAAGAGAGAGAAGCUGGACCCAAAGCCAGAUCCACCAGGCAGGGUCAUUCCUGUGCAGCUGGAGUCCCAGUGGGAUGAGGCCUCUGUCUGGGGGUUGCCAGGAGCAUAUAAACCCCUGAGACAAGAGAUUAUUAUUGCUCUAUCUUCCACCUUCUGCCUGGGAAGAGGGGACUCCAGGAACUUAAGCUUAGCCAGGGGAGCUGAGCCAUCAGAAAGAUGGCAUGAGCUUUCCCGUCCAGGGGACCCUCUAAUGCAGACUCCCCUUCAAGCGGGUGGGGGCUAUACCCUCCUCACUCCAUUCCUAGCUCCAUGGCUUUGGGAAGGAAAUGAGCCUCGCUGAGGUUCCGUUGCCUCAUCCUUAAAUUGUGCAAGGCAGGAGUCCCCGUUGUGCCUCAGUGGUAACAAAUCCGAUUACUAUCCAUGAGGGUGCAGGUUUGAUCCCUGGCAUCACUCAAUGGGUUAAGGAUCCAACAUUGCUGUGGAUGUGGCAUAGGCCAGCAGCUGCAGCUCCAAUUCGACCCCUAGGCUGGGAACUUCCAUAUGCUGCCAGUGUGACCCUAAAAAGCAAAAAUAAAUAAAUAAAUAAAUAAAUAGUGCAGGUCCAUGCCUACCUCAUUAUUAAGGAAAGAAUGUGUGCAAACCACCCAGUGCAGUGCCUGGCAUACAGCAGUGCUGGGGAGACAGCAGGUAUAUUACCUGCCCCCUUCACACCCUCUUGGCAGGCUCUGACCUGUGCACCCCAAAGCCCUCCCAGCCCCAGGGGAAGAAGGAGGUCCUUCAGCAGCCUCCACUUUUCAUGUAUGUACAUAUACAUACAUACAUACAUAGACAUAUGCAGCAGGAAAGAUUAGGUCAGAAACCAUCUCAGCGAAUUUCUAAGGCAGUGGAAAAGUGUGGCUCCAGGAAGAAGGUUUGCUUAAGACCCUGACCACUGGUACAACCACUAUGGAGAACAGUAUGGAGGUACCUUAGAAAACUACACAUAGAACUACCAUAUGACCCAGCAAUCCCACUCUUGGGCAUACAUCCGGACAAAACUUUCCUUAAAAAAGACACAGGCACCACAUGUUCAUUGCAACACUAUUCACAAUAGCCAAGACAUGCAAACAACCCCAAUGUCCAUUGACAGACGAUUGGAUUAAGAUGUGGUAUAUAUAUAUAAUGGAAUACUACUCAGCCAUAAAAAAGAACAAAAUAAUGUCAUUUGCAGCAACAUGGAUGAAACUAGAGACUCUCAUACUGACUGAAGUAAGUCAGAAAGAGAAAGACAAAUACCGUAUGAUAUCACUUAUAUUUGGAAUCUAAUAUACAGCACAAAAGAACCUUUCCACAGAAAAGAAAAUCAUGGACUUGGAGAAUAGACUUGUGGUUGCCAAGGGGGAGGGGGAGGGAGUGGGAUGGAUUGGGAGCUUGGGGUUAACAUAUGUAGGCUAUUGCCUUUGGAAUGGAUUAGCAAUGAGAUCCUGCUGUGUAGCACUGGGAACUAUGCUAGUCACUUAUGAUGGAGCAUGAUAAUAUGAGAAAAAAGAAUGUAUACACUGGGUCACCAUGCUGUACAGUAGGGGAAAAAAAAUAAUGUAUUGGGGAAAUUUUUAAAAAUUUUUAAAAAAAAGACCCAACCAGCUCUACCUUUUGUCUCAGGGCCAGUGCUGUGAGAAGCACUGCUGCCCAGAAUCUUCUCAUUUCCCCUUCUUCCCCCACCAAUCCCCACCCAUCCCCCCAAAACAAAUUCCUCCUCAUGGCCCCGGACUCUGUCCAGUUUGGCCAGGUGUGAGAAAUAUUUCCCCUUUGGCCAGUCAGAGCACUUCCCAAGCAGAGCUCCUUUCUAAUCGGGGUUCCACGGCAGUCACACAUGGGUGGGAGCCAGAGCGGGGAAAGGGGUCAGGAAGAGGGUUCAGGUGUCAGAUAAAAGGGGGUGCAGGAGGCCCCUUAAUCAGCAGCCCAGGUCAAAGGCUUCGCAUGCUCACCUCACAUCAGCAGGUUGGGUGGCUACCUUUCCCUUCCUUGAGGUCAUAGGCGCAUGAGAGUGGGCCUUGCGAGUUCCCAUCUCUCCUGGAGCCUCUGAGCCAGGCGUUGUGUUCCCUGACUUACAGAGGACACUAAGCUCAGAGAAGGGAAGUCACUUGCCACAUGAACAGUGAGAAAUACGUCACAGCCUCCACUCUCCAGAUUCCUCACCCAGGGUUGGCACAAACGCAGAGCUCAAAUGAUUGACCUAAGGGCUGUUAAUUAUCAUAUUUCCUCCUACAACCAGCCAGCAAGGGAAGUGUGACUACCUCCAUUUGUGGAGGAGAAAACUGAGCCUCAGAGGGUCAGGGUGGGCAAACUGGCCCAUGUCUGUAAAUAAAGUUUUAUUGGAACACACUCAGUUGUCUAUGUCAUCCACAGCGGGUUUUCACAGCAAAGGGGAGUGUUGCAGUAGAGAAAUAUGACCCCAAAUGCCUCAAAUAUUCACUAGCUGGCUCUUUAAAAAAAAAAAAAAAAAAA